rnacentral:misc_RNA from 1 species
GUAUGCAACUCUGAAGAAAUGCCUACUGUUUAGCUUUUUAUAUGAAAUGGCAUUGUGGAAUAUCUUGGUUAUGAUUCCAAGAUAUAUACCACUGCACAGUCUGCACUAGACUAGACAAUAGCCUUUUACCUCCUCAUCCCAAUGACAUAUAACCCUGCAAACCCAUGGCCAUUGUCCCUAACCUCACCUCUAGGCAUCAGAAUUUAGGUUCUCUUUCAUUUGUUGAUGUUUCUUGAUUGCAUUUGUUAUGAUUAUUGGUCCACUUUCCUGACAAGGGCAAUGGCACUUCUGUAGUUUUAUUGACAAAGUGUUGGCCACUUUUGAAGGUAGAAUUUAUGGAUAUUUCCAUCUUAGUUUUUAAGAAUAUCAUACCAUGUGCAUUUUAAAAAAUAUUGGUACUGACAUGUAAAUAUGAUUUUGCUUUGUAGGAAGUAUUCCUUAAUAGGAUUAUGUGAACUUGAAGAAUACAAACUUUGUAAGAUAGUUGAAAAGAAAUAUUUUUGCUGUCUAUUGUAUAGUUUUUCCCGCAUUGAAGUAAAUGUGUGUAUUUUAUAAAUAUUAUAUAUUGGGAAGGCUUUAUUGAAAUACACCAGUAAUAUGUGCUGUACCUAGCCCAUUUUAUUCUCUGCCUUCUUUCUGUAUUCUUACUGUUAUUAGUGUCUGUUGAAUGCAUGCAUGCAAAAUGCACGCAUAUACACAUACAAUUCCCAUGAGGCCCGUGACUCUUUCUUAAAUUAUUUUUCUGCUCAUUUUUUGAGCAGAUAUGCCUCAGAGAUUUA